rnacentral:snoRNA from 1 species
ACAUGGCCCGAUCGAAGCUGUGUAGAGUCUCUAUACUCUGUUCAGUCAACUCGCGGCCGACAGCAGUCUUGCAAUAAGGUCGCACGCGUGUUGAUACAACGCAUGAUGUGCAUUACCCAUUGCAAGGACAAAU